rnacentral:rRNA from 1 species
UACGGGGGGGGCAAGCGUUGUUCGGAAUUACUGGGCGUAAAGGGUUCGUAGGUGGCCAACUAAGCCAGACGUGAAAUCCCUCAGCUUAACUGGGGAACUGCGUCUGGGACUGGAUGGCUUGAGUGCAGGAGAGGAACGCGGAAUUCCAGGUGUAGCGGUGAAAUGCGUAGAUAUCUGGAGGAACACCGGUGGCGGAGGCGGCGUUCUGGACUGCAACUGACACUGAGGAACGAAAGCCAGGGGAGCAAACGGG